rnacentral:misc_RNA from 1 species
CAACCACUCAAGCCUCGGCUUGGUCUUGGGGUUCGCGGUCUCGCGGCUCUUAAAAUCAGUGGCAGUGCCGUCUUGCUCUAAGCGUAGUAAUUCUCUCGCUAUAGAGUUCCGGUGGUUACUUGCCAAAACCCCCAAUUUUUUACA